rnacentral:rRNA from 1 species
AGGACGAACGCUGGCGGCGUGCUUAACACAUGCAAGUCGAGCGGAAAGGCCCUUCGGGGUACUCGAGCGGCGAACGGGUGAGUAACACGUGAGUAAUCUGCCCCUAGCUCUGGGAUAGCUCCGGGAAAACCGGGAUUAAUACCAGAUACGACCACUUUAGACAUCUGCUGUGGUGGAAAGAAUUUCGGCUAGGGAUGAGCUCGCGGCCUAUCAGCUUGUUGGUGAGGUAACGGCUCACCAAGGCGACGACGGGUAGCCGGCCUGAGAGGGCGACCGGCCACACUGGGACUGAGACACGGCCCAGACUCCUACGGAGGCAGCAGUGGGGAAUAUUGCGCAAUGGGCGAAAGCCUGACGCAGCGACGCCGCGUGGGGAUGAAGGCCUUCGGUUGUAAACCCUUUCAGCAGGACGAAGCGAAGUGACGGUACCUGCAGAAGAAGCGCCGGCUAACUACGCGCCAGCAGCCGCGGUAA